GACCUGGUAGCACAACGCCAGUGCGUCUGCAUUCAGUAAGUUUAUGGAAAGCUUGUUUAUGCAGAAGAUCCCCGUUCGACUCGGGGUCAGGUCA